rnacentral:rRNA from 1 species
AUUGAACGCUGGCGGCAGGCUUAACACAUGCAAGUCGAGCGAGCGGCGGACGGGUGAGUAAUGUCUGGGAAACUGCCUGAUGGAGGGGGAUAACUACUGGAAACGGUAGCUAAUACCGCUUACCAUCAGAUGUGCCCAGAUGGGAUUAGCUAGUGGGUGGGGUAAUGGCUCAACUAGGCGACGAUCCCUAGCUGGUCUGAGAGGAUGACCAGACACACUGGAACGGAGACACGGUCCAGACUCCUACGGGAGGUAGCAGGGGGGAAUAUUGCAAAAUGGGCUCAAGCCUGAUGCAGCCAGGCCGCGUGUGUGAAGAAGGCCGUCGGGUUGUAAAGCACUGUCAGCGAGGAGGCGUUACUCGCAGAAGAAGCACCGGCUAACUCCGUGACAGCAGCCGCGGUAAUUC